CUUACAGUAAGUAUGGGUUCUGCUCAAAUGAAAUUCAGUAAACACUGCGUAAAAAUCAGUGGUAGAGUAACUUAAAUUCAAAGUCAAAUGUACUGCAUGUGCGUAGACAGCAUUGUUUGUAAACAGUACAGGGAAGGUACUGGGUUUUAAGGGGACAGUCUGAGCUGGAGCCAGACCAUCAAGGAGCAAGUUUCAAUAGUCAAGGUGUGAGAUAAGCAGUUUAAUUGUAUCGGGUGCUAAGAAGCAGCUGGAUUUGGAGAUGUGGGGAGUGAGAGAUUGGAAUUAAAGAGUAACUUUAAAGGAGAACUUUCAAUCCCUUAACCCCUUAAGGACUGAGCCAAAUGUACACGUUGUGAAUGAAACAAAAUGUAAACAAAACCUGGC